GGCACGCACACACACACACACACACACACACACACACACACACACACACACACACACACACACACACACACACACACACACACACACACACACACACACACACACACACACACACACACACACACACACACACACACACACACACAACUCAUAUUUCUUUCUUUCCUCACUUAAAACUCAAAAUCGUGAUGCUAUUACAGUGUCAUCUUGAUCUUGAAAUUCGAGAUGACACUAUAGCAGCAUCUUGAUUCUAAGUGUGGAAAGAAAGAAAGGUGAAUGCCAUACUCUCUUUUUCGUGAAAGAGGUCUCUUUUUUAUUGUGUUUGUGUCAUAAGACCAAAAUCCCUGGAAAGACAAGAUUAGGAAUCCUUGGGGUGCAGCAUCAAGUUCUAGUUUUCUUCCUGGGCCCCUUUGGCCCAUGCUUUUUCACCUGCAGCCACUCUAAACAUCCCUUCUCAACGCUCUAUUUCACACACACACACACACACACACACACACACAAACACACACACACACACAAAAACACACACACACACACACAAACCCACACACACACACACACACACA
rnacentral:lncRNA from 1 species